UUCUUUGUUCUCCAUAAAGAUAUUCAAGGGUCCUGAACUAUAUCAAGGUAAUUCAUGAAGUUCAAAGGACAAUGUUAAUCCAGGGUUCCCAUUUAAGCAAUGAUUAAUAUUGUGUAUCUUUAGGUAAGGUUUUUAACACAGUUUGUUAUUUUCCUGAUGUCCUCUGCAAAAAACACAGACUGUAAUGUGCAACCUUUCAUUUCGAGGCCUGGAGGUUGAAGCACACAAAGAAUAUCACUGCUUGGAUGAGUGAAUAUUUGAUCACCCUUGGCUCCAUCUGGCCAGGAGUAUGUUUAUUGAAAGAGAAUCAAGAAACUGAUUCAGGCUAAUACAUGUCACUAAUGUUACAAGAUAUACCAGGGGACGCCACAUUUAAAUUGUCACAAGCAGCAAAGGUAAGUUAAUUCUGAAAAUGCUGUUUUCAAGUUCAUUUUCUUCUCAUCCCAUGACAGAUUGAAGGUUCUUUUUCGUUGUAAUUCCAAUUUACAAGUUGA